rnacentral:rRNA from 1 species
UACGUAGGGUGCGAGCGUUGUCCGGAAUUAUUGGGCGUAAAGCGCACGUAGGCGGCAUUGCAAGUCGGAUGUGAAAUCCCUCGGCUUAACCAAGGAAGUGCAUCCGAAACUGCAGUGCUUGAGUACUUAAGAGGUUCGCGGAAUUCCCGGUGUAGAGGUGAAAUUCGUAGAUAUCGGGAGGAACACCAGUGGCGAAGGCGGCGAUCUGGGAAGAUACUGACGCUGAGGUGCGAAAGCGUGGGGAGCAAACAGG